AAAGUGGACAUCACAAAUACACAAGCGUCCUAUACACUGACCAACCAACAGGGACCAUAAGGUGGUUCAUCCAUUUAUUAUCAACUUGGGCAUCCUGACAUUUAGGCUUUAAUGUACAGGAGACAGACUUCUGAGAACAGCUUGCAAGAAGUGUUUGAAAUGGAAAGCUUGUGUAAGUCAGCUGACAUUGCUACUCCACCACCUGCCUGAAACUGAAGGAACCUUCUAUCCUCUGCUGUGAAAUUAAAUAAAUCUGACAUUUCAAUAACCCAUUUGGCAUGCUUAACAUUAUGGCUGAAAGAGACACCAAAGAAAAUGACUUCUUUUGAAGACACUCCAGAAUUUAUCUUUUUAACAUGACUACUUCAAUUGGUGAUGAUGGUGCCACAGGCUCACAGGUAUACCUUACAAGUUAUGAAACUCAUAUACAUUUAUACUAGUCUAAUGUUCCAGUUACAACUGUGCCUACAGAUUAAGCACCUCCCCCUUACACAAUGCCUUUACCUCAACCUCACAAGACUGAAAACAUUUGCUCUUCGUUUUCAGUAUGGACUUCUGAAGCAGGCAAUAACACCACACUUCUUUCAAAACAAUUUGUUAUACUCCUUCCAGUUGUUUUCACUACAUUUCCAUUAUUACUGUAUUUUUUUUUUAAGAUAUUUGCACUAGAUAUUUUUGUACUUGAUUGCAACGUUUGAAAAUUUUAAUAAUAAAUGUUCAUGUGUUUUUCA